AAAUUAGAGUGCUUAAAGCAGGCUUGUAAUGCCUGAAUAUUUUGUGCAUGGAAUAAUGAAAUAGGACAUCUGUUCUACUUUCAUUGGUUUUUUAGACCAAGAUGUAAUGAUUAAUGGAAGCAGUUGGGGGCAUUAGUAUUACAACGCGAGAGGUGAAAUUCUUAGACCGUUGUAAGACUAACUAAAGCGAAAGCAUUUGCCAAAGAUGUUUUCAUUUAAUCAAGAACGAAAGUUAGAGG
rnacentral:rRNA from 1 species